UGGGGAGUGUUGUGGUUGUGUAAACUAUUCACAAACGACAUGCAGUAUGCACCGAGCUGAUGGUUGAGUUCAGGAAUUAGUCUCUCUGUUAGGCUGCAUUGAGUUGGAGGGAAAUGGCAGCUCCUGGAAAAUGCUUGCUGGUCUCUGGCCCUCCUGGCGUGGGUAAAACUACGCUGAUUAUGAGGGUCUUUGAGAGCCUCAAAAUCUCAUACCCUAAUUUAAAGAUUCAGGGUUUCUACACUAGUGAGAUCAGAGAAGGAAGUGAAAGGGUUGGCUUUGAAGUUGUCACUUUGGAUGGUAGAAAAGCUCCACUUGCCUCCACCACCAUUUCCACCCCAGAGUCAUUCAGAUGGCCUACUGUUGGGAAAUAUAAAGUAGAUUUAGCAUCAUUUGAGUCACUAGCAUUGCCCGAGUUGCAGGUCAAAGAAGAUACUGAUCUAUUCAUCAUUGAUGAAGUAGGAAAAAUGGAGUUGUAUAGUUCAUCGUUUUUCCCUGCUGUUCUAAAAGUUCUGGAAUCAAAUAUCCCAGUUUUGGCUUCUGUCCCUAUUCCAAAAUUUGGUCGUGAUAUACCCGGAGUUGCAAGGGUGAAGAAUCAUCCAGGGGCUACCAUUUUCACCUUGAGCCCAAGUAACAGGGAUGUUUUGAAAGAACAGAUCUACUCCCAAUUGGUAGGUUCACUGGGUAGACAUUAGACACCGCAACACUUAUAUAACGUUGAAGCUCAGCCCGUCUAUCUGCUUCCUGCAAGUGUGAUCUUCCGAAUCAGACUUCGUCUCAUUGAGAUUGUGGAAAAUGAUGCAGCAAAAUUUAUGGCAGAGAGAAUACUACAAGUGUUGCAAACAAUGAAGGAAAGAUGACAAGGAAGUUGCAGAAUUGGAGUGCUUAGAACAUUCGUUUACAGUGUGCCACUAUGCUCCAAAAGGUUGCUUCCUUGAAUUAGUUUUUCUUGUGGCUUAACAUUAGUGUGGCUCCUAUGAAAAUUCUUAAGAGAAAAAUAACAAACAAACUAACUAACCUGAUAGUACAUUUUUCCAUGGCAGAAAUGUUUAGAUAAAAGAGACCAGGAGAGGAAAAACUCAAUCCACAUUACUGUUUAAAAUG